rnacentral:misc_RNA from 1 species
AAUUCUCAACCUUAUCAGUUUAUUUCUGAUAGUGGCUUGGAUGUGGGGGUUUCUCUUGCUGGCUCAGGUCAGCUCCCCUUAAAUGCAUUAGCUGGUGCCCUGUGUGGACUUGUCUAUUGGUGUGAUAAUUAUCUACGCCAUGCAUGGAUGUCUGCUUAGCACUGCUUCUAACCGUCUCUGACAAUACAUGACA